CCUACGGGUGGCAGCAGUAGGGAAUCUUCCACAAUGGGCGAAAGCCUGACGCAGCGACGCCGCGUGAGUGAAGAAGGACUUCGGAUCGUAAAACUCUAUUAGUAGGGAAGAAAAUAUCGGUAAGUGACUAAGAAGACCUUGCCAACUACGAGCCAGCAGCCGAGGUAAUACGUAGGGGGAAAGCGUUAUCCGGAUCUACUGGGUGUAAAGGGAGCGUAGACGGUUGCACAAGUCUGGAGUGAAAUGCCGGGGCUUAACCCCGGAUCUGCUUUGGAAACUGUGCAACUAGAGUGCAGAAGAGGUAAGUGGAAUUCCUUGUGUAGCGGUGAAAUGCGUAGAUAUAAGGAGGAACACCAGUGGCGAAGGCGACUUACUGGACUGUAACUGACGUUGAGGUGCGAAAGCGUGGGGAGCAAACAGGAUUAGAUACCCCAGUAGUC
rnacentral:rRNA from 1 species